GAUGAACGCUGGCGGCGUGCCUAACACAUGCAAGUCGAACGAAUCAGAUAUUCAACACUGAGUAUUUAGACGAAGGAAAAAAGUUAGCCAGCGUCAAGGACGAACGAUAGAGAGUCCUUUACGCGUUCAAAAAGUGUGCUAACACAUGAUAGUCUGAAUGUUGAGUGUUGAAUAUCUGAUUAGUGGCGGACGGGUGAGUAACGCGUGGGAAACCUGCCCUAUACAGGGGGAUAGCCUCGGGAAACUGGGAUUAAUACCCCAUAAAACUCUAGUAUCGCAUGAUACAUGAGCCAAAGAUUUAUCGGUAUAGGAUGGUCCCGCGUCUGAUUAGCUAGUUGGUGAGGUAACGGCUCACCGAGGCGACGAUCAGUAGCCGGCCUGAGAGGGUGAACGGCCACACUGGAACUGAGACACGGUCCAGACUCCUACGGGAGGCAGCAGGUGGGGAAUAGUUGCACAAGUAGGGGGAAACCCUGGAUGCAGCGACGGCCGCGUGG
rnacentral:rRNA from 1 species